rnacentral:rRNA from 1 species
AGGAUAAACGCUGGCGGCGUGCCUAACACAUGCAAGUCGAACGUCCUACGCAAGUAGGGAGUGGCGGACGGGUGAGUAACACGUGGGCAAUCUACCUUUCGGUGAGGAAUACCGGCGAGAAAUCGCCGACAAUACCGCAUACGCUUCGCAAGAAGCAAAGUCGCAAGACGCCGGAGGAGGGGCCUGCGCCCGAUUAGCUAGUUGGUGGGGUAAUGGCCUACCAAGGCGACAAUCCGUAGCUGGUCUGAGAGGACGACCAGCCACACCGGAACUGAGACACGGUCCGGACUCCUACGGGAGGCAGCAGUGGGGAAUAUUGGACAAUGGGGGAAACCCUGAUCCAGCGACGCCGCGUGUGUGAAGAAGGCCUGCGGGUUGUAAAGCACUUUUAGUGGGGACAAAAAGCUAUGGAUUAAUACUCUGUGGUCUUGAUUUAACCCAAAGAAAAGCACCGGCUAACUCUGUGCCAGCAGCCGCGGU